UACGAAGGGGGCUAGCGUUGUUCGGAAUUACUGGGCGUAAAGCGCACGUAGGCGGCUUUGUAAGUUAGAGGUGAAAGCCCAGAGCUCAACUUUGGAAUUGCCUUUAAGACUGCAUCGCUUGAAUCCAGGAGAGGUGAGUGGAAUUCCGAGUGUAGAGGUGAAAUUCGUAGAUAUUCGGAAGAACACCAGUGGGCGAAAGGCGGCUCACUGGACUGGUAUUGACGCUG
rnacentral:rRNA from 1 species